UUGAAGAAGGGGUCAAGGACCCGAUUGCAAAGGGGAAAAGAAGUGUAGGGGGUCCUGCAUAAAGUUUCGGAGUUAAGUGUGAGGUGGGUUUUGUUCUAGGGGCUUGAGUGUUUUAGAUGUAGGGGGUUAGAUGAGAAACGAAGGGCAGAUCUGUGAACAAAUUUUUUUUCCCAGGAGCCUAAAUGUGAAGUUGGUUUCGGUUUUAAUUAAAUUGCUAGAUUUAAAUUGUUGCAAACUUGGAAAAUGCAUAUAAAAGUGUAGAAAAAUGCUUAAAAUGUGAAUCUUGUUUUGUUAGGUUCCUAAUGAUGUCUAGUUUAUUCAAAAAAUAUUGUUGUGCAUGUUACUAUUCUGUAUUUCGUGCUAUGAUUUAAUUGGUCUAAAGUUCAUUAAAUGCUUUAUAAAUCAUGUUGUCCUCUAAAAAUUGUGAAACCACUUUUGUUAGCUUU
rnacentral:lncRNA from 1 species